GGAGAGGUGGCAGAGCGGUUGAAUGCACUGGUCUUGAAAACCAGCAAGGGUUUGUAGCCCUUCGAGGGUUCGAAUCCCUCCCUCUCC
rnacentral:tRNA from 1 species